rnacentral:rRNA from 1 species
CCUACGGGUGACAGCAGUGAGGAAUAUUGGUCAAUGGGCGCGAGCCUGAACCAGCCAAGUCGCGUGAGGGAAGACGGUCCUAUGGAUUGUAAACCUCUUUUGUCGGGGAGCGAAAGACGCCACGCGUGGCGUUCCGAGAGUACCCGAAGAAAAAGCAUCGGCUAACUCCGUGCCAGCAGCCGCGGUAAUACGGAGGAUGUGAGCGUUAUCCGGAUGUAUUGGGUUAAAAGGGUGCGCAGGCGGAAGAUCAAGUCAGCGGUAAAAUUGAGAGGCUCAACCUCUUCGAGCCGUUGAAACUGGUUUUCUUGAGUGAGCGAGAAGUAUGCGGAAUGCGUGGUGUAGCGGUGAAAUGCAUAGAUAUCACGCAGAACUCCGAUUGCGAAGGCAGCAUACCGGCGCUCAACUGACGCUCAUGCACGAAAGUGUGGGUAUCGAACAGGAUUAGAUACCCUAGUAGUC